ensembl:lncRNA
UGGCCAUUUUGAAUUCAACUCAUUAUUGCAGUAAAACUGGUACAGAGUAACAGAUUACAAAGCUCAUGGCACAGUCACUGAAAAAGAGAAAUGAGGUGUGUAUGUACAACAAGGAGGAAAAAGAAAAAAAGUUAACAUUUUGGCUAAUAGAAACACCAGGGGUAACAUAAAAAUGAUGAUACUGUAAUUCGGGAGAUGACUUGAUUAUACAACAAAGAGAAAAUAUGAAAUGAAGCAUUGCGAAGAAAAAGAAAACAUUACUUAAAAAACACAUUUAGCACUUACACCGACAGAUUCAAUCCUAGUGUUUAACCUAGGUCCGAGUCAAAGCAGCUUUUUUCCUUUUGACUAACAAAAAAAAGCUCAAUUUUAAUGGCAAAAACUAAAAAAAAUAAAAACAACAAAAGACUGAAACUGCCUUGCACACGAUCGGAUUUCUUUUUGGGGAAAUAGCUGAAGAGAUUGUUUGCUGACGACCUGCUUCUUUAUAUUAGCAAUUUUCUCCAAAUCUGUUUUUUCAAAAAAAAUUUCCAUAUAUUAUUCUUGAAUCAGGUGCUGAGGGUCUUUCAUUUUAACAUUCACAUCAACAUUUACAACCCAUCUCGAAAGAAAAAUAAAAUGCACUGGAGUCAGAGCCGGCCACGGCCACCAGGGGGCGCCAAACUCAAUUGCUAACACUCUUUGGGUACCUCAGUUGCGAUUUUGUCAAUUUUUCAACAAAUUUUCAUUCUUUUCAGUGUUUUCUUUUUUCAGAAAAUCAAAGUAACUUCUUAAAAACAAGUGACUCCCGUCGGCUCCGAUACGAGUGAUGCUUGGUGCAAGCGAAGACAACAGUUUGACUUACACUUCGGAUGGUCGGCAAGCGAAACCACAAACAGUACUUGAGCACCACCGAUCAAAACUAAAAAGUUGGCACCUGGCUACUGUAACCGGACAAACACAACCUCACCAAAAACUCAAAAACAUCGUCGUGAUCAUCGUCUCUCACUGGCAAAUCUUCACCCCACAGAAAAAAAAAAAACCCACAGAAAAUAAAAUGGCUGAUGACUAUUUACACAUAUCUCUGCAAAAAAUACAAUUAAAAACGGUAAUGUCAUGAGGCAUGGAGAAUUUAAACAAAUAUCAUAUAUCUUUUAUGAUUUCCGAUUCCUCCCUUGAACCCCUCAAACAUGUCCCCCACAGAUAUAAACAGAAUAUUGAAAAAAAAUAAUAAAAAAACAAAAACAAAAAUGAUUUCUGAACUUUUUGACCUCACUACAUUUUCAAUGUGACACAUUUUUUCAACACACACUGAAUUUUUACUUUUUCAUCUUUUAACAAAAAAACCGAUACAACAUAUUUCUAAAACACAAAAUAACAACAGUCUACAUGUAAAAAUAUAACUUUUACAUACACAAUUUCAAAAUAAUGGUAAAGUUUGCCAUUUUGUUGCAUACAAUUUACAAACGUCUGUGUUGUUGUUGUUGCCUUGGAUAGAUAGCAUUGAAUGGAGCUGAUGGAACUCCGGUCCCAUUUUUUGUCCUGCGCAGGGUGCCGUACUAGUCGGAAGGGCGUUGUCAUGGCAACAACAGAGAAUACAACGAAGUUCAGUCGGAAAAUUUCAUAACACUGAGGGGCCUCGCCAACUUCUGCCAGUUCAGUCUUUGAGAAAAUAACUCCUCCUUCACUGAGCAAACGCUCCGUUGCAACGGAAAAUAAAAAAAUAACAGAAAACGGCACCCUCGUUAUAUACUGUAUAUACUUUUUUUGUACAUUUAUAUAUAGAUUGAUUUAUUCAAAUAAAUUCUUUUCCAGUUUCCGUGCCUUUCCUGUUGAUUGGGUAGGAUUUUUAAACCGCGUCAAAAAUGACCGCCGACAGAGAACAAUGCUGCCGGAUAGCAAAUUGUGUCGUGUUUUUUUUUUUUUCAAUGUUUUAUCGUUGUUUUGUUUAUGUUUUUUUUUCUUUUUUGUAUAUUUUUCUGUAAUAGACAUGUAAACCAGAACAGACAAAAAAGUAAUAAGAGAAAAGAUUUUUCUUAUAAAAGAGAGCGAGAAAGAGAGAGAAAGAGAAGGAGGAGAGAGAAGAACGAAGAAAAAAAACCAAAAUUCGUUUUACAACAUACGACCACACACUUUGUACUGAAGACUACAUUGGCUUACGGACAAGCCGAUCAAAUAUUGAUAAAAAGCUGAUAAGCUAUAAUACAAGAAGAGACGCGUUGUUCACCAUGGAAACAGGGUUGGGGCUUGGAUCAGGAAAGUGGGUCUGGGGGGGGUUCUGGAGGACUGGGAGGACUGGGAGGACUGGGACGGGGGCUAGUUUUGCUAAAUCAAGCGUCUGUCCCAUCGGCUUGAAGCCAGAACACGCUGUCUACUUACAUAUAAGCGUACAGUACAUUAAAUACAGUUUAGUUUUUUUAUCCAAAAAAUACUUUUUUUUCCUUUUUAGCUUUUUUUAAAUUCCCAGGUCUGGUAAAAAACCUGACUGCAUAGAACCUAACGACUAAGAACAGGUUUCCCUAAACUUGCAUCCUAUUAAAAGACCAGGUAAAUGUCCUCCUCUGGCAACUUGAAUGAUAUGAACUCUAAAAAGGCACAUUGGUAGAAGUGUGAAUGUUCAAAUUGCAUCUGUGGGACCGCUCAGGUGGGGCGAGAGACUGGGGAGAGGGGCUGGGGCUCCGGGUUCAGGGCUCCGGGUUCAGGGAUCCGGGUUCAGAGCUCCGGGUUCAGGGCUUGUAAGGCGAGGGUCAGCAGAGCACUGGGACUGGGGAUUAAACUGGGCUUCAAACUGGGGUGAAUGGGGAAUUCCAGAUUGACACCAGGAAGCUAAUGCUCUUACAGAUGUUCCAACUGUUCUUGAUUACUUAAGUAUUCUUCCUAAUUUGUCACUUUUGUCAGUUAUCUGAUCAUAUUACCUCCAAAUCAGCCUUAAUGAUUAUAAAACAGCUACGGUAGUACACUCUGAAAUGCUACAGUGAUGCAGCAUUUUCACUGGUUGGGUUUCUCAACUGGUUGUGAACUACUGAUCGGGUUACAAUUGAUUGAAAUCAUUGACUGUAUAUAAAAGAUGGAUGUAGCCUCUGGUUCUGCAUUCUUUCUCACAGCCAGCAGGGGGCAACUCCUUUGGUUGCAAAAAGGAGUCCAAUUGUACAGAAAUCUAAGAGAAAAUAACCCCAUUUCUACCUUAUAUGUCACCUCGAUAAAUGUUUUCCAAAUGACUUUAUGGUUUCAGUCGCUAGUUUCAAGCGUUUUAGAGCACAUUUAGUAAAUAAUGGUGGUAAUCUGACUAUAAUUGAUGAUAAAGCAGAGUAUUUUAUGAGGUGGGGUGCACCAUGCACUGUUUCUUUGGGUUCUCAGUUGGAUCCACCUACUACUUAUUAUGUCUAGUUUCAAAAGACCAAGAUGGCAAUGGGCAAAUUCCAAAUUUGAGACCUCAAAAUGGUACCCUAUAACCCAAAGGGUGACCUCAUUGUUGCUACAUCCAUCUUUUACAUACAGUCUAUGAUGGAAAUACAUAGAUUUUUGACAAAUAUUUGGAAUUUACGAGUACACUGGGCCUAUAGGAAACCCUGUAUCAGAUAUGUUGGAUUGCUGGAUGUCUUAGUUUUGUUUGGGGGAACCGGAAAACACAAAACUUGGCUCAUUCAGGCAGCUUGGAUCUGCUCAUAUUUGGUCCUCUGGUACAGAAGCAGCAGCUGUGCUUUCAUUCAACUGGUAAUCUGACUCAUUUAGCUACCUGGGAGUAUUACAACCCAACGCUAAAACAAUGGUGGCAUGUGAAACAACUUCUGGCUAACACUCCUGCUCACUACUGGUGUGUGUUUACCUUGGUCCAAUCAGUCCAGAUGGUCCUCCUCGCUAACAAGAACACCACUGGGAACUCUAAAGAUUCCUGAUUAGUUUUGAGUGCUCUGCACUGCACUGAAAAAGCUAAAUCUGUUGGAAAUGAUGCCAGAUAAGAAGGCGCUAACAGUUCUAGCAACAGACACCUCAACAACAACAAGGUCUAAUUCCAAGACGGCAAGUAGUGUCAAUCGGAAACCCCCUUCCCCAGUGAUGGGGGAGGUCUGAGUUUGGAGUUAGAGGCUUAGGGUUCUCAUCAGCCAGAUAGUAAGACAGAAAAUGUGGGAAUCUAAUGAAUCCAACACAGGAAUGCUUUGACUACUUCUUCUUGCCCCCCAGAAGACAAUGAUAAACCCCAUCGCCCUGAUGAUUGUUCCUUUGCUUCCCCCAUAGUGUCGUCUUUGUUUACACCUCUGGAUUCUGUCCUCGAGCUCCGGUUCCUUGUGAUUUUGCUCAGACUCAAUCCCAUAUGACUCCCCCAAGAGGCAUUCUGGACAUCGGAAGCACCCAAUCACGAUUCAGGGAAUGUGCUAAACAUGGAAAAGAAUUCACUUCAGUCCGGCUCUAAUCCACUCGUCAAUCGAUUUCUGUCAUCUGUCCAUCCUCUCAACCAUCUGCCUGGCAAAUCCUUCCAAUCAGUGUCCAAACUGCCCUCGCUAUUGAAUAUCCGACAAAGGUCUCUGAUUCAGGAUGUUCGCUAAGAGCUCUUUCUGCACCACAAACCCGCAGACAACUAGAUGUUAGAAAAGCCUUCCCUUCCUGCCGCGUUUAGA